AGUGAACGCUGGCGGUAGGCCUAACACAUGCAAGUCGAACGGCAGCACAGUAAGAGCUUGCUCUUACGGGUGGCGAGUGGCGGACGGGUGAGGAAUACAUCGGAAUCUACUUUUUCGUGGGGGAUAACGUAGGGAAACUUACGCUAAUACCGCAUACGACCUACGGGUGGAAGCAGGGGAUCUUCGGACCUUGCGCGAUUGAAUGAGCCGAUGUCGGAUUAGCUAGUUGGCGGGGUAAAGGCCCACCAAGGCGACGAUCCGUAGCUGGUCUGAGAGGAUGAUCAGCCACACUGGAACUGAGACACGGUCCAGACUCCUACGUGAGGCAGCAGUGGGGAAUAUUGGACAAUGGGCGCAAGCCUGAUCCAGCCAUACCGCGUGGGUGAAGAAGGCCUUCGGGUUGUAAAGCCCUUUUGUUGGGAAAGAAAAGCAGCAGGUUAAUACCCCGCUGUUCUGACGGUACCCAAAGAAUAAGCACCGGCUAACUUCGUG
rnacentral:rRNA from 1 species